GAUGAACGCUGGCGGCGUGCCUAACACAUGCAAGUCGAGCGGAAAGGCCCAAGCUUGCCUGGGUACUCGAGUGGCGAACGGGUGUGAAAAACGUGGGUGAACUCCCCUGCACUUCGGGAUAAGACUGGGAAACACGGACUAUUAUCGGAUAGGACAACAUUAUGGAUGGUGUGGUGGAAAGAGAUACGGUGUGGGAUGAGCGUGCGGCCUAUCCGCUUGUUGGUGGGGUAAUGGCCAACUAAGGCGUCGACGGGUAGCCGGCCUGGGAGGGUGCACGGCCACAAUGGGACUGAGGUACGGCCCAGACGCAAACGUGAGGCAGCGGUGGGAAAUAUUGCGCAAUGGGCGCAAGGCGGAUGCAACGACGCCGGGUGGGGAAUGACGGCCUUCGGGGUAUAAACUCCUUUCGCGAGGAACGAAGCGCAAGUGACGGUACCUAGAGAGGAAGCACCGGCUAACUACGUG
rnacentral:rRNA from 1 species